UCGCUAAGGAAUUGGCCGAGCUUAGAGUUCGGGGUUGACCAAAUGGACACAUCUAGAAGAGAGGAUCCGGCUCCACCGUUCUCCAUUAUUGCGGUCACCAAACCCGACGCUCCUCCCGCUCUUGUGGAAGAUGUAAACUACGUGCAACAAGGAGGCAGUCCCAAUAGGGGUUACAACAACAAUUAUUGCCCUAACCAGAGGGAUUUAAUGUGAGCAAAGGUGGAGUAGUUGAGCCUAUCAAGAAGGAUGAGAAGUAUGACCAAAGAAUUAUGAAGAUUUUUGGAAGUGCUAGUACAAGAUAGGAAAGCCAACGAUACCAAGAUAGGAGUCGCUGAAGCAAGGUUGAACAACCUCGAGGCCGGAAUAACCACAAUUGACACUGCCAUUUCGAACAUAAAGAAACAAAUGGACCAAGUCCAACAAAAAAUUGAGGAAGACAAGCCAAAGGCAGCAGCACGAGUGGCAGACAUAAACAAGAAGUGAGUCGCCAAGCAGAAUAAGGACGUAGGCAGCACCUCCGGAAAGAAAACUAGGGACUGCCCGACAUCCAGCGGACUGCCGCACACUGAGCAGCGGGCUGCCACUGGGGCACAGUUCGGAUUCUGCCCGACACCUAGCGGACAGCCGCACACCACGCAGUGGCCCGCCACUAAAGAGGUAGAGGCGCCCGCCAAGAAAGACCUCGUGCAGCACAACGGGAUUGUACUCCCCUUCCAGACGAAGAAGAAGUUCUAGCUUGAAGAGAAAUACCUAGGUACGUGAAGCUACUAAGGGAGGCUGUGAUGAGAAAGAAAAAGCCUACAAAAGCCGACCUUAUGUUGUCUCACCAUUGCAGCGAGAUCAUCCAAAGGGAGAUGGCAGUGAAGCAAAGAGAUCCCAGCCAGUUCAUUACUAGGAAAAGUCUAAGAGGAAGAAGAAAGACAAGAACAUGUCCCAAACUCUAGCCGAUCCCAAAGUCUAUGUGCUCAAGAACUCGAACGGAAAAUACAAAUGGUGGAGAAACAUUUGGAACAAAAUGGUCCCUUCGUGGUUUUCAGCACUAGAGUCGUUCAUCCGUCCACUUAGUUAGGCCACUUCAAGUCGAACCAACGACCUUAAAACAAAUGCGCUUGUUGGGAGGCAAACCAAUUUGUUUUUAUUUCCUUCGUUUUGUUUUUUUGUUUUUCUUGUUAAUUUUCUGUGCACACAUAAAAAAAAUUAACUCGUAGCGGCCGCUGCACAAUUGCACACAUGUGCAGGAGCAGGUCGGGCCUUAGGGCGGACUGAGUGGUCACUGUGCGGGCUGCAGCGGUCCGUUGGAGAUGCGCCGCUUUUGUAACACGUGCAGUGGUCGUUGCACGUCGCGCAGUGGUCGCCACGCAAAGGUCAGAAUCGCGAAUUCACAUAUAAAACAUCUUCUUCUUUCCACCAUCUUCUCCAUUUCUCCC